UGCAUGCAUGCAAGUUUAUUGCCCUUCAAGUUGUUGCCUUUCAUUUCUAACUUAGUGAUUGUUCCUAGCUGUGGGGGACACGUAUGAAGCAAAUCGAAGGUAUCCCACUAAAUAGAUGUGCAUGCAUAGAAGAAUAGCAAAAAAAAAAAAAAGAAACUUGAGCAUAUAUUUCAUAUCAAGUAGCAUAUAUUUCAUAUACUUCAAACAUCCAAAUCGAAGACCACUGACUGAAAUUUCUUGAUGGAGAAAAUUGACAAAAAGCUGCAAUCCUGAAAGGGAAGAUUUUUAUCAAUUAGGGGAAGGCUAACUCUGAUCAACACUGUUCUAAGCUGCAUCCUAAUUUAUUGGAUGUUCUCAUUCAUGCUG
rnacentral:lncRNA from 1 species